GAUCCUGGCUCAGGAUGAACGCUAGCUACAGGCUUAACACAUGCAAGUCGAGGGGAAACGAUAUUGGAAGCUUGCUUUUGAUGGGCGUCGACCGGCGCACGGGUGAGUAACGCGUAUCCAACCUGCCCAUCACUUGGGAAUAACCUUGCGAAAGUAAGACUAAUGCCCAAUGAUAUCCCACGAAGGCAUCCGAAUGGGAUUAAAGAUUUAUCGGUGAUGGAUGGGGAUGCGU
rnacentral:rRNA from 1 species